CCUCCGGUUGGCGAAUUUAUACGAAUGAAUUCGGUCGAGAGAGAGAGAGAGAGAGAGAGAGAGAGUAUGUAACUAAGUGUCGCGUUUCGGAACGCUGAAAAUUUCCUAUAAAUUACGAAAAUUCCGUUGGAGAAGGGGAAUGGGGGGGGGAAAGAAUGUGUCGAAAUACGCACUGACCACAGCCCGCGUGUUUGUAUUUAUUCCGGACUCUCGCGUGCCAUCGCGGUGAUAAUGCGCC